GUGGGGAAUCUUGCGCAAUGGGCGAAAGCCUGACGCAGCCAUGCCGCGUGGAUGAUGAAGGUCUUAGGAUUGUAAAAUCCUUUCACCGGUGAAGAUAAUGACUGUAGCCGGAGAAGAAGCCCCGGCUAACUUCGUGCCAGCAGCCGCGGUAAUACGAAGGGGGCUAGCGUUGCUCGGAAUUACUGGGCGUAAAGGGAGCGUAGGCGGACAUUUAAGUCAGGGGUGAAAUCCCGAGGCUCAACCUCGGAACUGCCUUUGAUACUGGGUGUCUUGAGUGUGAGAGAGGUGAGUGGAACUCCGAGUGUAGAGGUGAAAUUCGUAGAUAUUCGGAAGAACACCAGUGGCGAAGGCGACACACUGGCUCAUUACUGACGCUGAGGCGCGAAAGCGUGGGGAGCAAACAGGAUUAGAAACCCGGGUAGUCC
rnacentral:rRNA from 1 species